CUACACCGUUAUACAAAACAUCACAUCAUUCUGUUACUACAGCUCUAGACCCUGUGUUACACGUAAGCGAAUGAGAAAAAAUAUACUUUUGUAAAAUAACUGUUUACAUCUUAGUGAUCUAUAGUUUCAAAAAUAUUAUUUUAUUCGAAUCAAAAUAUAAAUUGAAAUGUACAUUUUCGAAGCGUAUCUCGCUUACGUGCAAGAAGUGAACUCAGUAAAAUUUUGUGACGUAAAAAUGUAUAGAAUUUUUCGAGGCACCUUAUCGAAAUACGUAAUUAGAAAACUACUUUUUGUGCGCCAUACUUCUCUGUCUUAUUAAUAUAAAUCGUGAUUCGUCUCAUUACACUAAAACCGUUUUCAUAAAAAUUUGAACCGUUCGAAUUAUCGGGAUCCUAUUGGAAUGGUCGAGAAAGUGGACUUUUGUAUCGGCAGUAGGUACUCUGUUCCAGCAUCAACAUUCUAAAUACAUUCAAAACUUCAAUAAGCACAUAACUACAUUCUGUACUAUUUAUUUACAAGUGCGAGAGAAAUUCAUAAAAACAAUUUUCGCUGACUGAUCGGAAUAGUCAUCAAUACAAUGAACCUUACGAAGAUACUAUUUAAUUGCGUUUAAUUGUUCUGAGGAUGUAAAUAAUGUCCCAGGAAAUAUUGUCGCAAGUGGUCGCGAAAAUAAGUAAAUACUAAGCACCGGGGUACAAUAAUACAAUAAAUAUUGCACAUUUCUAAUACAGUGCAGCUUUUGACGAACGAGUAUAACGAUGUCGGUGUUUUACAUGUACCAACAAAGCUAACAAUAUUACGUUAAACCUAAAAAUGUUAGGAUACAAAACCUACACGAUAUUCAAAAAUAGGUAUUCCUUAGGCCAAAUUUAUGUCUUAUCUUUAAUUUUUAAAUAGAAAUUACGUCACCUAUCGUGUCUUCAAAAAUAAUGUUAGAUUAGCUAUUAUUUGUGGCAACAUUAAACUUUCCCUUAAACUAAAGUCUUGGCACAAAUAAAAUAUCAAUCGAGGAUACGUAUUGCGUUAUUAUGAUAAUUGAUACUAGAUAAGUAUAAGACUACACGAGGACGUAAUUACGUUUACAAAGUACGUAGGAAACUCAAUCGGAGCACACGUUCAAUUAAAUAAAAACACCGUAAGUAUUACGCAUAUAAAUAAAACGACACGUUCAAGACAAACGCACGUACGAAAGCGUAUAAAUUACAUAAAUAAAUUCCUAAGCCUAAAUACCCUCAGAACAGUUAAUAUGUAUUUAUAUAAAAUUCAGUUCUUUAAUAGGAUUAUUUGGCAUCUAUCACCAUAAUCGUUUAUUCUACUUUAAACAUGGUACACGAAGGUGAAAAAUACCGUAAUCCGAUGCGUCUCUCCGAACAUAAUCCCUCAUGAGUCAAGAGAUACGCAUGAGUAAUAAAAAUCCCUGCCGAACCUAAAUUUCCUCCUAAUCACACACAUGCGCGGCCCGCGCCGCGUCCCGCCCGCACCCCGCGUCCCGCCGCACCCCACAGCGCCUCGCGCCCCAGAACUAAGUGGACCGAACUAAUACGAAGCUAACCAGACACUAAACUGCUUCUAGCCUCAACUAAAUCUACUAUUUCGCUGUCAAAAAGCUAGGAUAUUUUAAACUCAAUUCGUAAUAACAGCCGACGAUUUUAUAACUAUAUCCAAUACCGGUAUUAACGUCUAAUAAUAAUAAAUCGUAUUUUCGGCGAACGUCCAUAUCAACGACUUAUUCGAUAUAAGAACUGUAAGUUAAGUAGUUAACCUAUCCGUACGCUAAAAUACAUUUAGAAAAAUUGUAGGCAGUCUAACUAAACUUACUAUCGACAUCGAAGAGUAAUAAAAUUGUGUAAACGGGCAGUGAGAGAUGGCCGCAGAGCGUACUAAACUCGCAACAUCAAUUCCUUGCCUUGAGAGAAUUAUUCACUAUUAAUGUAGUAACGGUACUUAAAAUCUUAUCGUAUAUUUGCUUAUCGUUUUUAGAACGACGAAUUUCUUAUUCGGUUUGUUCGUCUUUCUACAAUUUUAUUUCCCUUGAAUCGAUAUUAGCCAUUAAAAACAUCGGCUACAUCAACAUUGGGGUAUAAAGUGUCAAGUCCGCGUUACCUAAUUUUUAUACGAACAUCGCACACGCAAUCAACUAUUUUUUUAUUUUUCUAUACAGCGUAAAAUAAUGUUUGUUUUUCGCAGCAGAACAAUUUUAUUUUGAAACACUUGAAAUAAUUAAAUAAAUAUUCAUCAACUCGAAAGCGUGAGAACUAAUAGUAAUUCACUAAACAUAGCGUGCUAUUCGAAUCGCACGCGCUGCCGACAAAGUGAAAAUGUUCCGAGCAAAAUAAGCUCUCGCACGUAGUGAUAUAGCAUAAACUGGCCUGGAAGCACGGCCAUCCGCGAAGUAUUACUGUGGUUCGAGGUUGCUUUCGAGUUUUGUUCUUGAAAAUAAUUGUAAAUCUGCCAUUUUUUGAUUCUAUUUUUUUUUUAAUAAAUCGAUUGUACUACCAAGAUAAAAUAGUUUUAGCUGUGGGAAAAUAGCCAUUACACGCUGUAUUGUGUAUUAGUUCAACAAUAUUGAGCAUAAAUAGCAAAAUAAAUAAAAUAUUAUGUCAACAGUCUAAUCAAUAAUGUAUAAAAUAUAAUGAAAAAUAAUAUUUAUAUAAGAUUGCGUGCGUUAUGUACAAGAAAAUUUUGAUUCAGUAGUAUACCGCGUUGAUAUACCAAGCUUGUUAUUCUGAACAUGACAAUAUAUACUAACAAUACACCAAGUAUACAUUUUUCUUGAAUUUUUUAGUCAUGAAAGAUAACGUCGCAUCCAAUGUAUUGUUUUUACAAAAAGUGAUAUUUGAUGAACAACAUCGACUAUUCUACGCACUAAAUAGAAGGAAAAAGUAAUUUAACAUGUAAUUAGCUUAUCUCUAUCGCUCACUUUAAACUAUUAUAUGUGCGAGCGAGAGGGCGCUAUUUAGUGCAUAAAAUAUGUUUUUUUAGUUGCCUACGAUAUUAUGAUGUAAAUAAUCUUAACGAUCAUGAAAUGUUUAGAAUUUUUCUUCAUUGUAUAUCAACAUUAAAUCAUAUUUAAAGAAAAAUCUAUAGUUCCUGUAAUGUCUUUCUAUAAUUUAUGUAACAAGUAAAAUUAACAUAUUAGAUAAAAUUCUCUAUUGGCCCCCAUACACACGGCCGCUUUAUGGAGGCUUUUGACGUUGCUGGUUUCAAUGUUGGCUUGGAGUUUCAACAGACGUUUUUUAACGCGCGUCAUAAAAGCGUCCGUGAGAACGAAGGCCUGGUGUAUGAAAUCGCGACUUUAGGGUAAUCUAAUGAGUGUGAUUCGAUGUUAUCAUGCAGGGUAGGUGUAGGAGAAUGAAUGGGGCGAUGUGGAGUGACGUGCUACGCGAUACAAUAUGACUAAAGCGUUACAAUAAACUUAUGCUUACUUAGUUAUACUUUCUUCCUCAAAUAAGGUGUAUAUUGUAAAAUAUUACUCUCGAACGCUCUGAAAUGGACAUAUCGAGGCUAUACAGCUAAGACCCAAUACGUCAUUAUUAUGUUAGGUGGCGCUUAUUGAGUUUUACCAAUAUACCCUCGAUAUACAAAUAAUGCUGGGAGAGAUGUGCCAUAGAAAAUGGCAGUUUUUGACGUGACAACGUCUUAUAAUUCGAUAGAGCCGGCUGCACGCACGAAAAAACAUGACUCAUGCGGCGUUACCUCGCUCUGAGGCGUUCCAUGUAAGGCUUGAAGUGCAAGCGAGAGCGCGGAACGAGCGACAAAGAAGCACAAUCGGCCUUUGUUGUCACGUUCAACUAUCGUCAGUCAGUAAACCGACUUUACAGACAACCAAUUUUUUUUGUGCCGAUCGAAGCGGACCACCGAGGGUACCGGGAAUUAAAACUGACACUUUGUGUCAAAUGGUUUUCGUGUUGACAGACGUCUCAUCACUAACAUUUAGUUCCGAGUACGCUCGCAUGACGCUCAUUGCUGCUAAAAUAAAGUUGCUUCAAAAACGGGUCGGCAGAAUCGUAGGUCCAGCGUGUAUUAAUAGAGGUCAGUGACCUCUAUUAAUAAAAGUGUUUCUUAAAAGCCCUUUCAAAAUGCCAGCUCAAUUUUUCAGAGAUUAUCCAGAACAUUAUUAAGAAUAACAACAUAAGACCACAUUUUAUACCCCUAUUUGAGGAGACAAAAUUUCAACAUGAAAUAUCAGAUCAAAGUAAGAUUCACUUAUUUUAUCGACCAAACUAGU